AUCGCUUCUCGGCCUUUUGGCUAAGAUCAAGUGUGGAGACAUCUCUCAGAUUUUCUCCUUUAUUUCUUUUGAUAAGGGUUAAUAUUAACCUAAUAUUUCAUUAAUGUCAAGACAUGGUAUUCCCUGU
rfam:Ictidomys tridecemlineatus contig083319, whole genome shotgun sequence.